rnacentral:rRNA from 1 species
UGUCCUAGCGGCGAACGGGUGAGUAACACGUGGGCAACCUGCCCCUAGCACUGGGAUAACCCCGGGAAACCGGGGCUAAUACCGGAUACGACAAGAGAAGGCAUCUCCUCUUGUGGAAAGGGUUUCUGGCUAGGGAUGGACCCGCGGCCUAUCAGCUUGUUGGUGGGGUAAUGGCCUACCAAGGCGACGACGGGUAGCCGGCCUGAGAGGGCGACCGGCCACACUGGGACUGAGACGCGGCCCAG